rnacentral:rRNA from 1 species
UCGGAUUGCAGGCUGCAACUCGCCUGCAUGAAGUCGGAAUUGCUAGUAAUCGCGGAUCAGCAUGCCGCGGUGAAUACGUUCCCGGGCCUUGUACACACCGCCCGUCACACCAUGGGAGCCGGUAAUACCCGAAGUCAGUAGUCCAACCUCGUGAGGACGCUGCCGAAGGUAGGAUUGGCGACUGGGGUGAAGUCGUAACAAGGUACC